rnacentral:rRNA from 1 species
GACGAACGCUGGCGGCGUGCCUAAUACAUGCAAGUCGAACGCAGUGGGGACGGGUGAGUAACACGUGGGUAACCUCCCAUCAGAGGGGAUAACACUUGGAAACAGGUGCUAAACCGAUACUGAUGGAUGGACCCGCGGUGCAUUAGCUAGUUGGUGAGGUAACGGCUCACCAAGGCCACGAUCCAUAGCUGGUCUGAGAGGAUGACCAGCCACACGGGAACUGAGACACGGUCCAGACUCCUACGGGAGGCAGCAGUGGGGAAGAUUGCACAAUGGGCGCAAGCCUGAUACAGCCAUGCCGCGUGUAUGAAGAAGGCUUUCGGAUUGUAAAGUUCUUUCGGCGAGGAGGCGUUACUCGCAGAAGAAGCACCGGCUAACUCCGUGCCAGCAGCCGCGGUAAUAC